CAAUAGCGUAUAUUAACGUUGUUGCAGUUAAAAAGCUCGUAGUUGGAUUUCUGGAGGGAGCGUCGGCCCGUAUUUACGAGUGCGUGACGUCUCUGUCCAUCCUUGCGGGAAGGCACGGCAUUGAUUUGUUGUGUCGGAUCGCAUCAUUUACUGUGAAAAAAUUAGAGUGUUCAAAGCAGGCUUUCGCUUGAAUACAUUAGCAUGGAAUAAUAAGAUAGGACUUUGGUGCUAUUGUGUUGGUUGAGCCUAAAGUAAUGAUUAAUAGGGAUAGUUGGGGGCACCUGUAUUGCGUUGUCAGAGGUGAAAUUCUUGGAUUUACGCAAGACAAACAGCUGCGAAAGCGUCUGCCAAGGAUGUUUUCAUUAA
rnacentral:rRNA from 1 species